UACGGAAGGGGGCUAGCGUUGCUCGGAAUCACUGGGCGUAAAGCGCACGUAGGCGGAUUGUUAAGUCAGGGGUGAAAUCCUGGGAGCUCAACCUCCCAGAACUCGUCCUUGAUACUGGCGAUCUCGAGUCCGGGAGAGGUGAGUGGAACUGCGAGUGUAGAGGUGAAAUUCGUAGAUAUUCGCAAGAACACCAGUGGCGAAGGCGGCUCACUGGCCCGGUACUGACGCUGAGGUGCGAAAGCGUGGGGAGCAAACAGG
rnacentral:rRNA from 1 species